rnacentral:rRNA from 1 species
AGUGAACGCUGGCGGUAGGCCUAACACAUGCAAGUCGAACGGCAGCACAGUAAGAGCUUGCUCUUACGGGUGGCGAGUGGCGGACGGGUGAGGAAUACAUCGGAAUCUACUUUUUCGUGGGGGAUAACGUAGGGAAACUUACGCUAAUACCGCAUACGACCUACGGGUGAAAGCAGGGGAUCUUCGGACCUUGCGCGAUUGAAUGAGCCGAUGUCGGAUUAGCUGGUUGGCGGGGUAAAGGCCCACCAAGGCGACGAUCCGUAGCUGGUCUGAGAGGAUGAUCGGCCACACUGGAGGUGAGACACGGUCCAGACUCCUACGGGAGGCAGCAGUGGGGAAUAUUGGACAAUGGGCGGAAGCCUGAUCCAGCCAUACCGCGUGGGUGAAGAAGGCCUUCGGGUUGUAAAGCCCUUUUGUUGGGAAAGAAAAGCAGCAGGUUAAUACCCCGCUGUUCUGACGGUACCCAAAGAAUAAGCACCGGCUAACUUCGUG